GAUGAACGCUGGCGGCGUGCCUAAUACAUGCAAGUCGAGCGAAUGGAUUAAGAGCUUGCUCUUAUGAAGUUAGCGGCGGACGGGUGAGUAGCACGUGGGUAACCUGCCCAUAAGACUGGGAUAACUCCGGGAAACCGGGGCUAAUACCGGAUAACAUUUUGAACCGCAUGGUUCGAAAUUGAAAGGCGGCUUCGGCUGUCACUUAUGGAUGGACCCGCGUCGCAUUAGCUAGUUGGUUAGGUAACGGCUCACCAAGGCAACGAUGCGUAGCCGACCUAGUCGAGUGAUCGGCCAUAUCGGAGCUGAGACACACACAAGUAUCCAGCGGGAGGCAGCAGUAGGGAACUUUCCUCAAGUGACGAAAGUCUGACGGAGCAGUGCCGCGUGUGUACUGAAGGCUUUCGGGUCGUAAAACUCUGUUGUUAGGGAAGAACAAGUGCUGGUUGAAUAAGCUGGCACCUUGACGGUACCUACCAAGAAUGCCACGGCUAACUACGUGCCAGCCUCCGCCGUAA
rnacentral:rRNA from 1 species